rnacentral:lncRNA from 1 species
GGUCCCAACCUCUUGAAGUUGGCCAGGAAGGAACAGUGUUUGGCUCUUGGAACUAGACUCAGGUCCAAGUACAAGAUCAAUUACCAGUUCUACAGGGUCUUCCCCAAUGGGGAGGUCCAGUACUUGCACCCCAAGGAUGGUGUCUACCCUGAGAAGGUCAACCCGGGACGCCAAGGGGUUGGCCAAAACUUCAGGUCUAUUGGUAAGAAUGUUAGUCCCAUCGAGGUCAAGUUCACCGGCAAACAACCCUACGAUUUGUAAGCACCACGUGCUUCAUUCAUGCUAUCUGCUCAUGUACUUAUUGUCAAAUUUAUGCCACAAAUGCUAAAC